AUGACUGGGACUAAGAAUAAGACAAGAGGCCAGGCCAAAGCGGAAAAGAGUCUGCUAUACAAGCUAAAGCUGGAGAAGAGAGGGAGGCUACGGGUGUGGUUAGGCCUGUAGCCAAUACCUGGGCCAAAGCAAAAGACAAGCCAGGGUCUCUGACAGAUGCAGUGGCAGAGAUGAAGGCAGUGUCUAAGAACAAGGUCGGUGCUGAGAUGAAGGAAGGAGCCCCUGUCAGAGCCUAAGGCUCUGGGCAAAGCCACUGGAGAUUUCAGUCCCGAGGCUGGGAAUGAGUCCACCAGCUCCACAUGUAAAAAUGGGGCUGGUAUUGAUGCCUGGGUCUGGGCUGAGGAAGAGGCCACUAUCAAUUCCUGGUUCUGAAAUGGAGAAGAGGCUGGUAAUCAUUCCGGUGCUAAGAAUGAUAAACCUGAAAUUGGUGCCCAGGUCUGUGCUGAGGAGUUGGAGCCUGUGACUGGGGCCAGUUGCAAACCUAGGUCUGGGGCUGAGGAAGAGGAGGAAGAGAAUGUCAUUGGGAACUGGUUUUGGGAAGGAGAUGAUGCUAGUUUUGACCCUAAUCCUCAAUCUGUGAGUAGGAUAGUUAGAUCUCAGCCUGUGGAUGAAAUUAAUGGAAAAAAAAAAUAGGCCCAAGGACUGGUCUGAGGUAACUAUCUGGCCCAAAGCCCCUGCUGUAACUCCAGCAGUAUUCGGAUUAGAUCCCAGGCAUCUAAGGCAAGCCCUCCUUCAUAUAUUGUUUUGGCCUCAGCUGAAGAAAAUGCCUAUUCUUUGCCUGUGGCAACAGCCUGCCCUUGUAGGAACACUAACUCAUGCUCACAGCCCAUCCCUGAGUGUCCUUUUGGUUCCGACCCUUGCAUCCAGACCAUAGAUGAGAUUAGACACCAAAUCAGGAUUAGGGAGGUAAAUGGGAUUAAGCCAUUUGCUUACUCUUGCAAAAUGGAAUGCUAUGUGGACUCUGAGGAAUUUGAACAACUUGUUAACUUACUUAAGUCAACUACUGAUCCUCUUGUUCAUAAAAGAGCACAGAUUGCAAUGGGUAUCCAUAACGUUCACCCAUUUGCCCAAGAGUUUAUUAAUGAAAUGGUAUAAUGAUGCUUAUUGAAAGCUUGCUCAGUUUUCCUUCCCCAGAAAUGAGAAAAUUACUAAUUUUCUUAUGAGUAAUUACUCUGAAUCCUCCUUCUGGGGAUGAAAGACAAUGCAAAAUUGAAUUACAUGUUAAGCAUAUGUGUAAAGACACCAUGUCAUUUCCUUUGAACUCACCUGGACAGCAAUCUGGAUCAAAGAUACUAGGGCAACUGACUACUGAUUUUGUCCAUCACUACAUUGUUGCCGGUGACUUUUCAGAGCUUUUUCAUUUGCCAUCCUUGAGAAAGUACAAAACCAGACAUCUUGUUUUGAAAGUAAUUUUAAAUAUAUCUGAAAAUCCAACUGCAGCCAGAGACAUGAUCAAUAUGAAGGCACUGGCAGCAUCAAAACUCAUCUUUAACCAUAAAGAGGCAAAAGCCAGUCUUGUUAGUGGUGUGGCCAUAUUUAUUAACAUAAAGGAGCAUAUCAGAAAGGGCUCAAUUGUAGUUGUUGAUCACUUGAGUUAUAAUACACUCAUGGGCAUUCUCAGGGAAGUUAAAGGGAUUAUUGAAGCAAUGUA
rnacentral:lncRNA from 1 species